CUUUACGACUAUGCCGGCAGAUGUCGCAACCAACAAGAGACAGAGAGAGCAGCGAUGAGGAUAGAGAUAGAAAAAUACUUGAGGGGGAAUUGAUUAAAAAUUGAAAGCCGACUUUGGCCCUCAUUCUUUCACAGAAAAAGGAACAUAGGAAGCUGCCAUAUACCGAGUCCGACCAUUGGUCCAUCUAGACUCCUCCUCCUUGCUCAGAUCUACCAUAUUUACCAGAAUAGAAGAUGACUCUGAAUUUAAGAUGACCCCUUUAAAAAGUAGAAGUUAAACACAGGUUAUACCUGCAUUUACUCUAAAGGAAUAGGACUCUGAAUUUAAUACGAUCUCCUGAUUUCUAAUAUCAAAGAACCUGGAAAACACUUAGUCUUGGAUUCAGUAUUUUUAUGGAUAGAAAUACCUCUCCUACCACUUGCCAAUCCGAGCUGUCCGGAAAGCUUUUGUGAAUGCCACGAAGGCCAGAACUCUGAUGGAGAGGGACAUGAAAACGGGUUCAAGUUGGACUUCUUCCAAUUUACCUGGAUCUCUAGGUCUUCUAGGAGAUGAAGAACAUACUGUAUCUGAGAACUUAACUCCUUUGAGCUGCAACCAGUCAGGAGCCAAUCGUCUAUGUACAGAAAGGUCAAAAUUCCCUCUGUCCUUAGGUGUGCAUUGAUGGCUGCCAUGCACUUCAUAAAGACCUGUGGCAUGGUGGAUAAUCCGAAUAGAAGCACAUUAUACUGGUACACUGCACUUCCCACCGUGAAUUGUAAGUACUGUCUGUGGUUGCCUUGUAUGCCAGUGAGGAAUAGGCACCCUUCAAAUCCAGCGUUGCAAGCCAUUCCUCCUUGUAAAAGAGUGGUAGGAAACCUUGCAACGUUAUCAUUCAAAACUUCAGUGAAAGGACAUAUUUGUUCAACCAUCUUAAAUCCAUUAUAGGACGUAUCCCCCCGCCCCUCUUGGGAAUUUGGAAAUAACGGAAGUAAAAGCCCUCUUUUUAAGAAAUCCACUGUACAGGGGCAAUUGCCCUCUUUUCCAAAAUAACCUUCACUUCCUCAAGUAAAGUAGGAGUUGCUGGCAUGUACUUUAUCCCUGUGAAGGCAGGCAUUGCCUUGAAUUCUAUUGCAUAACCAGUAGUGACUAUGCAUAGCACCCAGGCAUCUGAUGUUAUGUAAUUAACCUAGAAUUAUAUUUUAGUUAUCCCUGAUCUUUCAUAUUACUCUAGUCACUUUCUGGAUCAGGUUUAUUCCCUGAUUAUUUAAGGUAUUGAGCUCUUUGUGUCUCUUCAGAUGUCAAGUAUGUGAAACAGGGAGAGUAGUAUUUAGCUGGUGACAUUGAGGGGGUCUUGAGAAAAGCCAUCCUCGACAUCAAGACCCUGGCGCAAGAAGACCUUGAAUGUUGACUUUGAUGGGGUGGUUUCUGCUGAAUCCAGAAAAGAAAGGAGAGAGUCGGUCACUGCUCGAUCAGGCCCCUGUACUAAUUCUGUCAGCGCAUCCUCCUCAUUGAUGUCAACAAUCGAUGUCAAAGGAAACGGUUGACCCAAAGGUCAAGAUUGUUUAUCUGUUGACAUUAGAGGUUUCAUUGAUGUUGACCCUGUGAUGAAAGUACUGACUUUGAAAUGAACUGGUUGGUAGAAGCAGGUUCUCUCAUUACCAACAUAGUCACCAACUCCGAUGUCCGCUUCAACAUCGAUUGUUGUCAUCGAUGUAACUUUAUCUGGUGUAAACUUGCAUUGUGAAAAUCAAGUUUUUAGUAUGUGUUCUUGCUUUAAUUAGUACAAGGUAUUCUAGCUUGUGGCUGGAAAGUGCCUGAAGGUAAUCUAGGGUUGGCCCCCUGCCUUUAGCCAUUACUCUACAUCAUCCAAAAUGACAGUAUCCUGAAAUCAGAGAAAAACAGAAGUGGGCUUUCUUGGUAAGGAGAUUUUAGUUAAAACUAUCCAGGGUGCUUAAGGAAAGAAGGAAUUACAGGGAGCAAGCAAGACUUUCAUACAUAUAUCCUGUUCACAGACACACACUAUUUAAAGUUAUAAUUUUCCCUACAACACAGGAGAGGAAUGAUGUACAAUUUAGGCAAGGGGUUGAAGCACAACUGGCAUUAAGGAGCUUUGACUGUACAGCUCUACGUAAUUUAUUGCUAUAGUAAUCAGUGUUGAAGUAUUAAAAUAAAUACAUACUAAAUAUAUACUAAAACAGAUAUAUACUAAAACAAAUAAAUACUAACCCAUAGUUGAUUCCUAUUCUAAGGCCUAAAUGAUAUCAUUAAAACAGGUCCUCCUGACUGGAGUAUUCUGUAUUGAAGGUGCUCUUCUACAGAAUCAAAAUAUGGGAUUCAGGACAGCUGAAAGUCCUUGGUCUGGGGUAGCAGCCAUGAAAUACAUAGUUAAUCCUGGAUGUGAUAUGAGAUUUGCAAGAGACCUCACAUUACAAGUGUGUGCAGACAUUUUUCUGGGUCCCACUACUGUAGGGAAGGGAGGCAGAAAAUAGCAGCAAAUGAUUCAUCAUUUUUAGAGAAGAGUGGUUCUUGGCCCUACAAGAAAUCCUGUAUGCAUGACUUCUUCUCUGCAGAGUUUUAGAUUCACAGCAGAGUUGAAGCACCAGAGGGAACCUUUUCAUUUUGAAGGAGAAUAGGAAUAGGCCUUGGCCACACAAGAUCCUUCUUCCCCCUUCCUGAAUUUCCUUUGGUCAUAGGUGUGCAGUCUUUUGCCCAGUGUCCAGGAUCUAAGAUAAUCUGCUCUUGUCCUUUCCCUAGCCUCACAGCACACACAGCAUCCUUAUUCUACAUUGUAUGAGGCCUUCAGGCGCAAAUAUCAUAUCAUAUAUUAUAUCUUGUAGCCCUUUAUUAAUAUAAUAAAUAACUCUUCCUUUAUUAAUAUAAUAAAGAAAUAUAUAAUAACUAUAAUAAAUAAAGGAAAACACCCUCCAGUUCUGGGGCUGGUUUCACUGAAGUUUGAGGUUAAGUUUAAACAGAUGUUAUCACAGCCCUGGCCCUUGGGUUAAGCUACAGUCCUGCAGAAUCCUGAAGUUUAAAAAAAAAAGUAGAAAAGAGCCACAGCUUCAUGUGUUUAAAAAACCAAUGCCAAGAAAGCAGCACUGGAUAGUCUCUGAGAGGUAGUAUUCUUAUCCUUUGGAGCCAAGCUACUACCCUGACUGUGAUGCCACUUCUGCUAGCCACAGCAUGUCAAGGGAUGCAUGUGCAGCUGGUGGUGGUAUAUGCAACAGCUCAUCUGCCCUUCCUGAAGUACAUACCUGCUAUGGAGAAGAAAAGCUUGUGGAGCUGGGCACCUUAUAUGCUAGCUGCAGAGAGGCACCUACCAUGUCAAGGAUCCCAACCAUCCUCUUUCACAUCAGGGGCUCUUCCCUGAUCCCCCACCAUGUAGUUUCUCACAUUAAUAAUUUUAGGGCUUGUUAUAUGGCAUCUAUCUGUUCCACCUGGUAGUACUGGAACCUCGUUCCAGAAGUACAGAAGAAGUACAAUUGAAACAGCAAUCUUCUGCUGGCACUCCAACGGAAGGGAGACAGUAGCCACUUGCAUGUUGAAUAGAGUGCCCAUACAGUAUGCUGGAGGAGUUGCGAUAGAUGUAGAUGGCUCUUCAGAAGGUUGAUGAUGAAGUCAUGUUCCUCAAGAAUCUGGACUGUCUGCUGGACAUCUCUGAAUGCCUUUUAUUCGAAAGAGGAGUGAAUCAACAGAUCGUCCAGAUACAGGUGGGCAUGAAUGCCCUGGAGGCGGACAUGGGCAAUCACUGUCACCAUCAACUUAGUAAAGACUUGAGGUGCUGAUGAUAGCCCAAAAGGCAGAGUCUUGUACUGGUACUGCUGGUGGUUGUAAGAAAAUCUCAGAAAGCGACAAAAGGAGGGGUGAAUGGGUAUGUGUAGGUAAACUUCCAACAGGCUGAUUGAUGCUAGGAAGACCCUGGGUUGGACUGCAUUCUUGAUCGACCUGAGGGAUUCCAUACGGAAUGACCUUUUCCUCAUGUAGCAGUUGAGCCAUUUUCCGUCUAAUAUCGCUCUCCAGAACCCAUCCUUCUAUGGCACCAGAAAGAGCAAAGAAUAGAUGCCAGAACAUGAUGUGGUCAGUGGAACUGGCUCUAUGGCCUUGAUGUCCAACAAAAGUUGAAUGGCCUGUUCCAUCAAAACUCUGUUGGAUUUGACACUGGAUAUGAGAGUUAUUAGAUGAAAAUCGGGGGGAGGAGAAACAAAAUCUAUUGAGUACCCCUGCCAUACAGUCUGCAGCACCCAGUAAUCGGUGGUGCUGUUCACCCUGGCCUCUGAAAACAGCAGAAGCCUGCCCCCAACUGGGAUCGGGUUAUUGCUUAUGAUUUGUCUGGGCUAAUGAGGAAGCAAAUGGUCUGCCUUACUGGUUUCUGGAAGUGCCUCUACCUCGAUUGCUCCAGGGCUGUUGCCAAGCCGGCUUGAAGGUUGUUGCUCAAUUGUUCCUGAAGUUGUCCCUGAAUUGGUUGGUCGGAGUUCGGUUGAAAGCUCUGUAAGGACAAAAGGAAGACUGGUAGGAAGUGUUUCCCCUAAAAGGCCUAUGAAACUUCCUGCGCCUAGUUGGUAUGGCCUUCUUUUUAUCUUUAGUUUCAACCAGCAUCAGCUCUAAAGCCGUUCUCUAAGAGAACGUCUUCUUCAUUAUGAGCCCCACGGCCCAUUGAGGUCGUCCGGAGAGAUCCAUCUCCAGUUGCCGCCAGCUCGGCUAGUGGCCACACGGGGACAGGCUUUCUCGGUUGCUGCCCCAAGACUGUGGAAUGCACUCCCUAUUAAGAUAUGAUCCUCCCCAUCUCUGACAAUUUUUAAAAAGCAUUUGAAAAACCACCUCUUCACCCAAGCUUUUAGAGAUCUUUAAAAUUUUAAGGUUAUAUUUGUAGGUGAUUUUAAAAUUGUUAAAUUGUGUUAAGUUUUUGUAUAUAUUUUAACUUGUUUUAUGCUAUUGUUAACCGCCCAGAGAUGAAAGUUUGGGGCAGUGUACAAAUUUGAUUAAUAAAAAUGAAUGAAUAAAUAAAGACAGACAGACUCCCCAAAUAAUCCCCCCUGGAAAGGGGUAGCAGCCAAGGUAACUUUUUAUUUGGUAUCAACAUGCCAGUUCUUCAGCCACAGCCCUCUACGCAGUGCCACUCCAGGUGCCAUAGCUUGUGAGGCAUGCUGUAUACAAUCUAGGCUUGAAUCAGUCAUGGGAGUGGCAUGUGGCAACGUCAGGAGAGAUCCUAGUUGGAGCCAUGAAGUUUGUGGUUCUUACGUCCUAUGUUCCAGGGGUUGAAGGCAAAGGCAGCAUGGCUGGUGACAGCAGGACCCCACGGGGAUCUUGCAGUAAAAUCGGACCCCAAGGGAUGUCUAAAGGCAAUGCAGCCCAUCCAGGCUCGACAAGUAAAACCAGUGCCGUGGUUAUAACUUCGCCAGCUUGCUAGCCCCCUGAAUGAAAUUUGCUUACAAAAUGGCAGCCGUUGCCAAGAUGACAGGUGAGAUUGGCUGCUGAUUGGGAUCCAAAAUGGCCGACAGAGCUUUGGCAGGCACUUUAGGAAGGAAACAAGGUGGCUGUUGCUUGCAGACUGCCCAAAUUUGUAGCCUCUCACUCAGGGGAGCUCCCCCAGAGGCACAUUUUGCCUUUUCUUUUUUGCCCCUUCCGCCUCCUUUAAAUGUUUUGUUUUUCUCACCAUUUUUUAAUGUGGCUUUUCAGAAGUGGCAGCAGGCACCGCAUGGCUUUAAGCCCCAGCCCCUUCGGUCAGAAUGCCAGGCACAUGAUCGUGCUGAAGGGAAACAAAACAGGGUCUCUUGGAGACUGAGGAGAUCGCCCUCUUGGGGUCUCUGCUCCUUGAUUCUGAAAAAGGUCCCUCAGAAAAGGAACCUUUCAGCAUAUUGCCUAAGUGGGAGGCCUGCACACUUGGAAAAAAUGGACCCAAUUUAAAGAAAUUUAAAAGAAAAUAAAAGCAGAAUUCAAUUAGUACAAAUAAUGACUCUCUUCCCACCCUUGCACACAGAAGUCAAAAGGCGGGAAAGGAAAGAACUAGUCUGAAAUUAGCCUAAAAAUAACAAGUAGAGCAGGAGCUCGAACCAAGAGCUAUCUAAUGGAGCAAGACAGGACUGGGGAUUGACUGAUAGCUACCUAAGCUAGCUACUAGCCUGCCUGAAAUUUGAUUAGUCCUGUCUUGGAGCAUGCAGAGGCUGAUAAACCUGUCAUGUUGAGGAUGACCUCCCUAUACCAUGGAAAAAAUGCCCACCCAGGCCUUAGACCCUGCCAAAUGCAAUUAGGAGAAGCUACAGUCUUAUGGUGGCUGUGUCACCAAAGGAAUUAAUCCAAGCAAUCCCACUACAUGUUCUUGUUCCACCCACUCCAUGAUGUCUGUCCCUGAGUUGUUCAGCAUGUUCAAGUCCAGCAAGCCACAGAUCACUCACCCUUCAGGCAGCCACCUCAUUCCAGCUGUAUACAAGAUGUAGAGGGGGCUCCCUUGGGCAUGUGGGCAAGAGCAAAACUGAGUGGCCUCAUGGACACAACAGCUUUGUUUGGAGUCAUGGGGGACAUCAAAGACAUUACUUCGUCUGCUCCUGAGGCUUUCCACUGGAGCCUUGCUGUUUAGUUCUCGCCCUUAGCUCUUGCACUGGAAAGGACAAUAGGGGUACUAGACUUAUAUGAUUGCCUUUGGUGUCUAUAUUGUCUGCAGUGUUCCUUCUAAUUUUUUUCACCUGUGCACGGAAUGAGUUUUCUUCUGGGUGGCAGUAUCAAGGCAUUGUGUGCGCACAUCCAUUUAGCACGCAGCCAUCCUGAUUCAACCUGAGUGGGAUCUAAAAUUAACUGAGCAGACAUUUUUAAAAAUGUGUGCGCACGCACAUUUGCAUGCCUUAGAGGGAACAAUGAUUGUCUGUAUUUAUUGGUUACAUAAGAUUGUAAGAGUUUGUAACAUUGUAGCCAAAGUUGUAAACAUUUUCACUGUGAAAUUUCUCCACUGUGAUGUCUGUUUCCUUGCUGAACAAUCCCUUCCCAUCAAAUGGGAGGUUCUCGAUCAUAUCCUUCAUGUCUGCUUGUAGAUUCGUGGACUUAAGCCACGCAUGGAGCCUUAGGGACAUAGCUGUGGCAAGUGAACAAACGAGACACUGUCUCAGCCAAAUGUUUUGCCGUGCUGAGGUGUUGUUGUUUAGUAAUGUCAACAGACUUCGCAAAGGUGUCUGAGCUUUUGUUGAAAUAUUCUGGCAGGUUCUUAACAUCUUUGUAUAAAUUAUCUCCAAUUGAAUGAUGAAAUUUAGCCAUGGAGAUCAUGUAGUUCAUUAUCUUGGCAGAGGGCAAGCAGCUGGUCAGAACCCAAUAACCCCAUAGCUAAAAUUUGGCUAUUGAGGAAUAUUAGGAAUAAAGAAUUCCAAUGUUUUUGGAGGCACUACUGGAAUAUUGAUCAGCUGUCAUUUGCUUUGCCAGUACAGUGAAUUACAACAAAAUUCGGAGUUCUGGGAUAUUAAUAUCCAUGAGUGGGGUUUUUGAUGCUCUCCUGUGAAUAUUUCCUUGGUAUAUGAGGAGGGUUUUGAGGAAAAUGAAAGUGCAUAUUUCUGAAAAUUGAAGUUUAAAAGUAGGGAUUAUGGUAGAGAAGAUGGAGGCAGCUCAAGCUUUGGUGGUAGUACACCCACCAUUAGUUACAUACCUAAAAUCUAAGGGACAUAGCCCUUGGAGGCCAGGAGCGUUCCCAGCUAAGAAGCUCUGAAAAUGUUUGAACUGGAAUUUGAUAAACUUCAUAAGGCUAAUAAAAUGCGUCCCAGCUGGGAAAAGGUGUAAGCAGCUUGCUUAAGGGGACUUUACCAAGUUGCUCAGACUGUGUCUGAGGAAGCUGACAAUUUGAAUAAAGAAUUGGCAGACAGUCAUACAAUUUUUUUUAAAAAGGGAACAGCAGGGAAAGCAUUUACAGCUAAUCAAUUCACAGCUGUCCACACAAAACCAAUCUCUUUGUUCUCAGAAUUUGAAUCUAACAGCAGAAAGGGCUGCUGAUCAUACCCAACGCAAUCAAGAAAUUUAGACACUGAAAAACAAGCUUUGUGUAACAGCAGCUAUGGUUUAGCAGUCACACCUGUUGAUUAAUUUGGGGGUAACUAAGGAUGAGAUAGACGGAAAACCUACAUCUGAACUUUUUGUACAGCUUUUGCAGUUGUUGAAAAACAACCAAACCAAAAUCAUUGGCUCUUGUAACUACCAGAAAUAAUUUCUCAGAGAACGAGAACACUUGGAGAUAGACCUCUCAGCCCUGCUGAUGCAAAUUUGAUGUUGGUUAAUGAAAACAACAGUGAUAAGCUUUUCUCCGCUUUUUAAAACUUGUUUUUAAAUUGUUUUGGCUAUUUAAUUGCUGUUUUAUGAUGUUUUAAUUGUUAAUUAUUAUUUUAUGCCAUUUUCUAAUUUCUGUUUUAAUUGUUAAUUGAUUUUAAUGGUGUUUUAAUGUAAAUCGCCCUGAGCCUUUUGGAAGGGCGGUAUAAAACUUUUAGAAAUAAAUAAAUAAAAGAUGGAUAGGAUUAUAAA